GGCCUGCCAACCCUCUAGUCGCUCCCAUAUGGCGCACUCCACACCCUCAGUCUCAGAUCUCCAUAAUCUACGGCUAGAGAUGGGCACAUCAAGAUACUGUAGAAUCCCAGUAUGCUUAGCAAUCUCCAACUUCUCCAUGAUAGAUCGGUGCAGUUGCACUGAUAUCCUCAGGCUAAAAUGGACAGCUGACUUGCUAAGGUUCACCUUCUAUCUCGAUGCUCGACAAUAGUCCUCCAUGAUCGCUCUGAAUCCAGUGGCACUCCGGAUGCUAGCC
rnacentral:lncRNA from 1 species